CUCAGACAGCUGGACUGUUUGUUUUACUGGUGCAAUGGGACGACGUUGUGCAGCAGUCAGCAGUAUGUUUCUACUGCUUGCUGCUCUUUUCUCCAGUGAUGGGCUGCUUUGUAACUACUGCCCUCUGCAGGUCAAAGACAAACUCUGCCCCAACAUCACCACAGCAUGCAGGCCGCACGAGCGCUGUUUCUCCAGCAGAGGCCGUUAUGGACGGGUCCACGUGCUUUCUGGUCAGGGCUGUGUGGCAGAAGAGCUCUGUGAUUCACAUCAAACACUUACACACAUGAGCGUGGCCUACAAUGUCACCUACAUGUGCUGCUGUUAUAACCUGUGCAAUGACGUCCCUACAUCAGAUAACCUCCUCAAACAGUUGCUCGGGCUAACCACUGCUCAUGCUAACAAUAACAGCAACGGCAAUCCUUUCAAUCUCUGUGCAGAUAAUUAAUGCUUUCAAGUUUUCAUGGAUGUUGUAAAGUUGAUGUGAAAGUGGGAUUUUAGUGCAUGUGUGACAUGACAAAAUUUUACAUGAUUUCUUGUAUCAAUAACUUGAUUAUUUUAUUAAUGCCAGAAUGAAAUCACACAUUGCAUAAACAUCAGCUGGUUUUUCAGUCUGGAAACUGAUAAACUUUGUAAUAAAACAUACUUCUUGA